rnacentral:rRNA from 1 species
ACAGUGUCUGGUGGGUAGUUUGACUGGGGCGGUCUCCUCCUAAAGAGUAACGGAGGAGCACGAAGGUUGGCUAAUCCUGGUCGGACAUCAGGAGGUUAGUGCAAUGGCAUAAGCCAGCUUGACUGCGAGCGUGACGGCGCGAGCAGGUGCGAAAGCAGGUCAUAGUGAUCCGGUGGUUCUGAAUGGAAGGGCCAUCGCUCAACGGAUAAAAGGUACUCCGGGGAUAACAGGCUGAUACCGCCCAAGAGUUCAUAUCGACGGCGGUGUUUGGCACCUCGAUGUCGGCUCAUCACAUCCUGGGGCUGAAGUAGGUCCCAAGGGUAUGGCUGUUCGCCAUUUAAAGUGGUACGCGAGCUGGGUUUAGAACGUCGUGAGACAGUUCGGUCCCUAUCUGCCGUGGGCGCUGGAGAAUU